CAUGCAAGUCGAGCGAACAGACGAGGAGCUUGCUCCUCUGACGUUAGCGGCGGACGGGUGAGUAACACGUGGAUAACCUACCUAUAAGACUGGGAUAACUUCGGGAAACCGGAGCUAAUACCGGAUAAUAUAUUGAACCGCAUGGUUCAAUAGUGAAAGACGGUUUUGCUGUCACUUAUAGAUGGAUCCGCGCCGCAUUAGCUAGUUGGUAAGGUAACGGCUUACCAAGGCAACGAUGCGUAGCCGACCUGAGAGGGUGAUCGGCCACACUGGAACUGAGACACGGUCCAGACUCCUACGGGAGGCAGCAGUAGGGAAUCUUCCGCAAUGGGCGAAAGCCUGACGGAGCAACGCCGCGUGAGUGAUGAAGGUCUUCGGAUCGUAAAACUCUGUUAUUAGGGAAGAACAAAUGUGUAAGUAACUAUGCACGUCUUGACGGUACCUAAUCAGAAAGCCACGGCUAACUACGUGCCAGCAGCCGCGGUAAUACGUAGGUGGCAAGCGUUAUCCGGAAUUAUUGGGCGUAAAGCGCGCGUAGGCGGUUUUUUAAGUCUGAUGUGAAAGCCCACGGCUCAACCGUGGAGGGUCAUUGGAAACUGAAAAACUUGAGUGCAGAAGAGGAAAGUGGAAUUCCAUGUGUAGCGGUGAAAUGCGCAGAGAUAUGGAGGAACACCAGUGGCGAAGGCGACUUUCUGGUCUGUAGCUGACGCUGAUGUGCGAAAGCGUGGGGAUCAAACAGGAUUAG
rnacentral:rRNA from 1 species